rnacentral:rRNA from 1 species
UACGGAGGGUGCAAGCGUUAUCCGGAUUUACUGGGUUUAAAGGGUGUGUAGGCGGGCUUUUAAGUCUGGGGUGAAAUCUCCGAGCUCAACUCGGAAACUGCCUUGGAUACUAUUAGUCUUGAAUUAUGUUGAGGUUGGCGGAAUAUAACAUGUAGCGGUGAAAUGCAUAGAUAUGUUAUAGAACACCGAUUGCGAAGGCAGCUAACUAAGCAUAUAUUGACGCUGAGGCACGAAAGCGUGGGGAGCAAACAGG